rnacentral:rRNA from 1 species
AUACGUAGGGGGCAAGCGUUGUCCGGAUUCACUGGGCGUAAAACGCGCGCAGGCGGUGAUGUAAGUCUGAGGUGAAAACCCGAAGCUCAACUUCGGGACUGCCUUGGAUACUGCGUCACUUGAGGAUAGGAGAGGCAAGGGGAAUUCCACGUGUAGCGGUGAAAUGCGUAGAGAUGUGGAGGAACACCUGUGGCGAAGGCGCCUUGCUGGCCUAUUUCUGACGCUGGGGCGCGAAAGCGUGGGGAGC